UGGGUCUAAUACCGGAUAUGACUCCUCAUCGCAUGGUGGGGGGUGGAAAGCUUUUUGUGGUUUUGGAUGGACUCGCGGCCUAUCAGCUUGUUGGUGAGGUAAUGGCUCACCAAGGCGACGACGGGUAGCCGGCCUGAGAGGGUGACCGGCCACACUGGGACUGAGACACGGCCCAGACUCCUACGGGAGGCAGCAGUGGGGAAUAUUGCACAAUGGGCGCAAGCCUGAUGCAGCGACGCCGCGUGAGGGAUGACGGCCUUCGGGUUGUAAACCUCUUUCAGUAGGGAAGAAGCGAAAGUGACGGUACCUGCAGAAGAAGCGCCGGCUAACUACGUGCCAGCAGCCGCGGUAAUACGUAGGGCGCAAGCGUUAUCCGGAAUUAUUGGGCGUAAAGAGCUCGUAGGCGGUUUGUCGCGUCUGCCGUGAAAGUCCGGGGCUCAACUCCGGAUCUGCGGUGGGUACGGGCAGACUAGAGUGAUGUAGGGGAGACUGGAAUUCCUGGUGUAGCGGUGAAAUGCGCAGAUAUCAGGAGGAACACCGAUGGC
rnacentral:rRNA from 1 species